ensembl:lncRNA
CUCAGCCAAACGACAGGAUUCCAGUUAUUGAGUUUCCAGCAAGUGGACUUUUUGAAAGUCAUGAUCUUCUUCCACAGGAUUUUCCUUGUGUGAAAAAAUGAACUUUUGCCUGGUUAUCCUCUUGAAUGGCCAGAAAAAACUUUCCAGCCCAACCAAGAUAAAAUGAACUUUUCCACACUAAGAAACAUCCAGAGGCCCUUUGUUCCACUAAAAUUGCAGAUGGAAUUCGAAGCAGCACAGGCUCAGCAUCUUCCAGUUCUUCCAAGCUCAAACCUUUCACCGGAUAUUAUGAGAGGAUCUUAGCUACUAUAGGAGGCAUUGAAUCCAGGUGGCCACAGCAGUGAAAACA